rnacentral:rRNA from 1 species
AGGAAUAUUGGGCAAUGCCCGCAAGGGUGACCCAGCAACGCCGCGUGGAGGAUGAAUGUCGUAAGAUUGUAAACUCCUGUUAGAGGGGAAGAAUAGUACCGGUUGGACCGGUAUAUGACUGUACCCUCAGAGAAAGCCCCGGCUAACUACGUGCCAGCAGCCGCGGUAAUACGUAGGGGGCAAGCGUUGUCCGGAUUUACUGGGUGUAAAGGGCGCGCAGGCGGGAUAAAAAGUCAGUGGUGAAAUCCUACAGCUUAACUGUAGAACUGCCUUUGAUACUUUUAUUCUUGAGUUCGGGAGAGAGAGACGGAAUUCCAGGUGUAGUGGUAAAAUACGUAGAUAUCUGGAAGAACACCUGUUGCGAAGGCGGUCUCUUGGUCCGACACUGACGCUGAGGCGCGAAAGCGUGGGGA